CUCGGCUCGGCUCGGCGGACAGCUCCCACCAUGGACGCCUAGCCUAUGUGACAAAGAAGAACAAGGCAUGUCUGAGUCACGCUAAUGCCCACUACACAUCCUUGGUAUUCCCACAGCAAGAGGCACAGAAAAGCUGGUUGGACUUCAUUCCUCUAAUCAAAUGUCAGAAAUGUUGUUAAAUGGAAGCGCUUUCCCUCACUUUCAUCCCCAGCAGACAGCCCUCGAACUGCAGAGACCCUCUCGUCACAAAUAAGUUUACAAGGAAGGAACCUGUGAAGUGAGGCUGCAUUUCAGGAAACAAACCUAUGUAAGAAAAUAUCUUUGAAAAAUUAUCUCUAACAAUUCAUAGGAUUCCUGGGAAGCCAUUGAGGCACGAAAGUGCUGUGAAUAGUACUAAAACAAUCCUGCUAACUAAGGAAAAAAACAAUGUGGGUUUAUUUUCCCCCCGAUCUUUCUAGUUAACUGAAAUAUAUAGUCAUAAUUUUAUGAGUUCAACAGUUUCCAGUUUCAGUGGUAGAUUCACCAUGCACUAAAGACUGAAUUUAACCCACUACCUUCCCUAUUUAUCACAGAAGUUAUUGAUAUUCAAUACCAAUAUCAUGAAGAAUCUGGCUGUCCUUUAGCAAUUUCCAUUAAAAUGAAUCUCUGUCAUGGGAGCCAUAGAAAAAUCUCUGAUACUGGAUAUUUAUGUAUCUUAAUAUCCCUUUUCUACACCUACAUCUAC